rnacentral:rRNA from 1 species
GACGUAGGGCGCGAGCGUUGUCCGGAUUUAUUGGGCGUAAAGAGCUCGUAGGCGGCUUGUCGCGUCGAAUGUGAAAUCCCAGGGCUCAACUCUGACAUUGCAUUCGAUACGGGCAGGCUAGAGUUCGGUAGGGGAGACUGGAAUUCCUGGUGUAGCGGUGAAAUGCGCAGAUAUCAGAAGGAACACCGGUGGCGAAGGCGGGUCUCUGGGCCGAUACUGACGCUGAGGAGCGAAAGCGUGGGGAGCGAACAGG